AUGCACUCGACGACAAAAUACCACUGGGCUAACAAAGGAUCCAAGAUGGCCGACCGCAACGUGGUCGGUAGCCGAACGGCGGCCACCCUGAAUCAUUAAUAACUACCAAAAGAUACAUUGUUGCAAUGUUUAAUGGGAGCCACACGACCUCCUGUGUGUGGUCUCCCAUUCGGUAGUUUGUUCGUUUCACGAACAGUGUUGCAAUUCA